rnacentral:rRNA from 11 species
ACAUUCGGCCAUACUAAGUCGACAUGUACCCGAUCCCAUCCCGAACUCGGAAGUCAAGUCGCUUCAGGCCGGGUUAGUACUGAGGUGAGGGAUCACUCGGGAAUCCCCGGUGCCGAAUGU